GUCGUAACAAGGUAGCCGUAGGGGAACCUGCGGCUGGAUCACCUCCUUAAUCGACGACUCAGCUGCACCAUAAGCACCCACACGAAUUGCUUGAUUCAUUGAAGAAGACGAUUAGAAGCAGCGCCCGAGUUCGGGUCUGUAGCUCAGUUGGUUAGAGCGCACCCCUGAUAAGGGUGAGGUCGGCAGUUCGAAUCUGCCCAGACCCACCAGUUUACUGGUGAGAUAGCUGGUCAGAGUAGACGCCUCCACGGUAUGUAGAAAUACGGGGCCAUAGCUCAGCUGGGAGAGCGCCUGCCUUGCACGCAGGAGGUCAGCGGUUCGAUCCCGCUUGGCUCCACCACUUACUGCUUCUGUUUGAAAGCUUAGAAAUGAGCAUUCCAUUGAUCCUGAUGAUCAAUGCAUGAAUGUUGAUUUCUAGUCUUUGAUUAGAUCGUUCUUUAAAAAUUUGGGUAUGUGAUAGAAAGAAAUAGACCGGGCACCUCUUUCACUGGUGUGUGUCCGGGCUAAGGUAAGGUUUGUGAAAUGCAAACUUUCGGCGAAUGUCGUCUUCACAGUAUAACCAGAUUGCUUGGGGUUAUAUGGUCAAGUGAAGAAGCGCAUACGGUGGAUGCCUUG
rnacentral:misc_RNA from 1 species